UACAGGGGGUGCAAACGUUGCUCGGAAUUAUUGGGCGUAAAGCGCGCGUAGGCGGCUACCUAAGUCGGAUGUGAAAGCCCCUGGCUUAACCGGGGAAGUGCACCCGAAACUGGGUAGCUAGAGUGCAAAAGAGGGUCGCGGAAUUCCCAGUGUAGAGGUGAAAUUCGUAGAUAUUGGGAGGAACACCGGUGGCGAAGGCGGCGACCUGGGUUGACACUGACGCUGAGGCGCGAUAGCGUGGGGAGCAAACAGG
rnacentral:rRNA from 1 species